AUUGAACGCUGGCGGCAUGCUUUACACAUGCAAGUCGAACGGUAACAGGCCGCAAGGUGCUGACGAGUGGCGAACGGGUGAGUAAUGCAUCGGAACGUGCCCAGUCGUGGGGGAUAACGCAGCGAAAGCUGUGCUAAUACCGCAUACGAUCUAUGGAUGAAAGCGGGGGACCGUAAGGCCUCGCGCGAUUGGAGCGGCCGAUGUCAGAUUAGGUAGUUGGUGGGGUAAAGGCUCACCAAGCCAACGAUCUGCAGCUGGUCUGAGAGGACGACCAGCCACACUGGGACUGAGACACGGCCCAGACUCCUACGGGAGGCAGCAGUGGGGAAUUUUGGACAAUGGGCGCAAGCCUGAUCCAGCAAUGCCGCGUGCAGGAAGAAGGCCUUCGGGUUGUAAACUGCUUUUGUACGGAACGAAACGGUCUGGGUUAAUACCCUGGGCUAAUGACGGUACCGUAAGAAUAAGCACCGGCUAACUACGUGCCAGCCGCCGCCGUAAUAC
rnacentral:rRNA from 1 species